ACAGAAGGAGCUUGUGGUUAUCCUGAGAAUGCAUCUGCUUUGGUGACCUGCAGCCUUGGAGUAUUUAUGGAAGUCUGUGGUGCAAGGAGUGUGUUGCAAUUUGUAAGAGAAAAUGUGUGUCCAAACGUCAAAAAUAAUUGUUUUCCUUUUGGUAAGAUAUGCCAAAUUGUGGAGUCUGGCAUUUUUUUCUAGAAUCUGCAAAAUGCCCCCUGUAAUGGAAGAUGACACCCGCCUCAAGUGUAUCUUCACGGGCUGUCUGGUAUCCAUCAUUUACUCGCUCGACAACGUCACUCCAUCUCUUUAGCUUUAACCUGCAGUUGAGGGUAGUGGUGACAAUUGAGUGUGUCCACAAAGACACUGAAAUCUGUUUGCAUGUUAGGCUAAGUGCUGGAGAUGGCCUUGCUUCUGAUAUGUCCUCCUUGGAUUAUCAGCUGACAUUAUCUUCUGCUUUUCUUGUUGUUUAUUAGGUGUGUGGAUUUUGCUCAGGUUGUAUCAUUAGCACACAUCUUUUUUUUUCCCUAUUAAACCUGUCCUGCUUUUGACUGUGUGGAUUUCUAGAAUUACCUUUUGGAGUCUUCCACUUUGAAUGUGUGUAUAGAGAGUGGAAAGGCUUGUACACCUAGGCAGUGUUUCUUCUGUAAACAUCCUAAUGAUUUGGGAAACAUGCACAUUAUGGAGUAAUUUUUAUGAUCCAAGUGACCUAUGGAAUGUUCUCUCCAUAGGGUACCUUGUAAUCAGAUGAGUGGAUUUCCAGGCAGCAGAGCUGACUUUUUUUUUUUUUUUUUUUUUUUUUUUUUUUUUUUUUUGUGUGUGUGUGUGUGUCUGAUUCAGUGUGUGACCUUGUCACGAGCUCAGCCUGGUCUUACAUCACUGAGGCUUGACAUGUUGAGUCAAUCAUUUGUUCAUUCCCACUUGUGUCUCACUAAUCACUGCAUCAUAGCAUCAUUUAAUUGGAGUUGUGAGCCUCUGAGAUCAGUACGGAAGUCUGCAGUGGGAGGCUCCUAGUGCUGGGCAGACACUUGCCUGUGAAUAAGCAGUUGGAUCUGCCUGCGAUGACCUGUGGCAGGGCUUGGUGUGUGGGUGUACAUGUGUAUAUCCUGCAGUGAUGUUGUGAUAAAUGCACUGUCUGCUUUUCUGUUCAGAGGACUGACUUAAUCUCUGCGUGCUACAGAGGCCUUCCUUGUGCAGAGAAGGGUGUCUUGUUGUAAAAUGUAACUGCCAAAAAAUUCUGGUACUAAAAAUACUUCUCUGGACCUUCCUCUCUUCUGUCACCUCAACUGCACAAGCUGUGCGAAUCCUCUUAGUCUCUCUUCCUUUGGCACAGGAGGUUGUAAGAGAUCUUCUGUCAAAGACUUCACACACUCUUCCUUCAGCCAGUGGUAGCUGCCCAUCAGUGUGUUGUUUCUAGCCCUACCCAGAUAAAAAAAAUAGAACUUUCUUCUUGGCAUCUCUCUCCUGCCUUGCCUCAGGAAGCACACCAUUCUAACCAAUGUAUUUUAAAAUAAGGGCACUUUUAACUGGAAUAGUUGUGAAGCUGCAUCUUCUUGCUCUACUUAUGUGAUCCCAGCUUGCCAUGUCCCUCUACCUCCCUGCUCUUAUUCCAAAAUCCUGUCCUCCUUUUUUCUUUCUUCCUUUUUUUCCUUCAGUCUCACCUUAGCCAUGUGAUGAGGAUUGUAUGCUUUUGCUGCUGCUGAACUGCUGCUCUGUAAUGGGAUUGUCCCAUGGGACAGCUUCUGGGUGAGCUGCUUGGAACGUGCAGCAGAUGCUUAACCAGGACUUCCUUAGUAUCUCUGGUUGCUGCUGGGGAUGUGUGGCCCAGCAGGGUUAUCUCAGGACUCAGGUACUGCUGUAUAUUGCAGAAUCAUCGAUUCCGUGUGCUGAAGUUCACUUGGGCUGCUGUGUAAAUAGGUUGUUCCACGUAAAGCAUCCCUCCCUACCCUUUUCUAAAAUGAAACUGCUCUCCCCCAGCCCCACGGCAUUGAAGUUCUGGUUAUGGGUUUGCUGGGAUUUUUUGCCAGUUGACAUUAACAAAUCUGUGUGAUGAUAUAUCUCUGAAAUGUCCAUUCUUUCCCCGUAGAUUCAAAUGCCUUGUUAAUCAAGUUUUUCUCUGUUGGGAUAGAUGUUCUAUUUACAGCACCAGGAGCUUGAGCUGGCAAACGUUGAGGAAUAAUUGUGAUUUCCUGAAAUUUGUUUAAAUAACUUGAUCCAUGAGCGAAUGCCUAGAUAAGUGUCCAGUCCUCUCUGGCUGACUGAUCAUAUGAUGUGAUAUACCAGUACUUGCAGUGCAUCACUCACUCCUGUUGGCUACCACAUGCCGCUGUGCAGCAUCUAAAGGUGCAUGGGGGUGGAUACUCCCCACACUGGUGGCUCAAAGUGAGGAACCACUGUUGGGCAGCUGGACCUCUGGUCAUGCCCAGCAUGGCUGUUGUAAAAAUGGGGGUACUUGAAAACUUCUGCUCAUGAAUAUGAAAUGCAACGUGUACCACAGAUAAGUCUGCUCUCUGCCCCUUCCAUAGGCCUAAAGUUGUAUUGUAGAGCACUCAUUGGCAGAGCAACACCUAAGAAAUAGCUUUGUUUCAGUAUUGUCAACAUGCAAAGCGUUUUCCUGAGUGACACGGCAUCUGGCACACUCAACCUUUGAACUCGUUUGUAGGUGAGAUUUUGCCUUGAGCUAGAAAGGAUUUGAAGUAGUCCUUGGAUACAUAUGCAGGAUACAGGUGUUACCUUGUCUGUGUAGCUAUCGGGUCUUCUCCUCCUAACGUGGUAAUGGAACAGUUGUGUGACAAUGAGGAAAUCUUAGUCACAGAUGCUACGUAUAGGUGCAGUUUCACCUUAAAAUGAAUAGCAAUGUUUUACUGCUGGCUGCUCUUACUCACAGAUUGUAUGGUUUUUAUUGUGUUGACCUUCAUGAUUGGUUGAUUUUCUAUGAAGAUCUGUAGAAACUCUAAAUAUAUUCUUGUGUAACCGUUUGGAAGGCAUGUAUCAUUGUAGCAUCAAAGUGCUUCAAAGGAGUAUGCUAAAUCAGCUAUAGGACAGAUAGUGUAUUGCCAAAAUUAUCUGAUAGAUUGUGUACAUGGACAGAAGGUGAUUUUGGAUUAAGAUGUAAAAUCCCUUGAUCAAGCUCCUAUAUGAAAGUUAGUAGGACUCAUGCCACUAAUUUGCUUUGAUGCUUUUGAAGUCAUCCUUUAAGUAAGCUGGUGACUAACAGAAUUGCAGAUGCACUAUCAGAAAUUUCCUCUGUAGUCUUGGAAGUGGAUGGUGCUGAUGGUAUGACUGAAGUUACUUAAAGGAGACACAGACGCAGUGAGAGAGGAAUGUCUGUAUGGGUUCAGUUUACAUGAAUAAAGGCAUCUUGGUGAGCACACCAUAACUUUCAUUUCCAGAGCAAGACCAUUUUCUAUCACGGUUUUGCCAUAAUGGUUUGCACAAGACCUGUCAUUGUGAAAGAGACAGCAGUCCUUCUCAGCCCAAUCCCAGCAACGUUGAGGGGAACACCAGAUAUGUUUUACAAGCAGAUGAGCCAGCUUAUAGCGCUAAGACUCCAUCUGGACUGUUUUGAUAAGUGGGAGCACACCAAAAUGUUGUUGCAAUUUUCACUUGAUCAGUUGCUUUUGUUAGCUUCAGCAUCAGAACUGUUCGUUCAUGCUUUUAUGCUAUCUUGGUGAUGAUUGCUUUUUCCAUUCCUUGAUGCACUGUUGAUGUUGGGUUGCUGGAACAGGAAGGUAAAAGGUUGAGUCUAGAAGCUGAAAAAAAUGUCAAACUGCACACUCCCAGUGGUUAAGGAAGGCAGAAGCACUGUUUCCUUCUCUUAGAAGAAUGAUGGUCAGACUGCUUUUCUGCAGAAACUUUUUUUUUGCAUAACUAUGAGUAUGAUAGGCAGUGAGAGAGAGCAGGAAUUCCCUUCAGAUCUGGAUUUUGGUCUGUUUUCUUCCCAGCUGAGUUUGUGUUGGACCUUUUUAAUGUAAAUCGUGGAAGUUUGGGUACCUAGAAUUGGGGUACAUUCAAAAAGAGUGCCUUGAAUUUGCCAUUUUCUGCUUGGGUUAUGAGAAUUGCACAAGGAAGAGGUUAAAUUCAUAUGUUUCAAGUUUGAAGAUUCAAGAUCAAAGCUAUGGCAAACAGCAAUUUUAUUUGUGAAUUUCUGUUUCCAUUUGACUGUAACUGGGCUGUUCAUGUUGUUGACUAGAAAUGAAACAUGAUUACAGUGGAAAGUGGGGGCUGGCACGCCUGAGUGGGCUAUUGUGUCAUUAUCCAUCAAUCACAGGCAACAAGGAAACAGGUAUUUAACACAGAAGGACACACAGUUAUUAUCCGCCCCAUUCCCCUGCAAGCCACAGGGCACCUUUGAGACUCUUAUUAAAACUUUAAUACCUACAGAGAUCACAAGAAACACUGUAUGCUACGGGAUCAGAGAUCAGGAGCAUUGCUGUCAUUCUACAUCUGUGCAGGACAAGAAAACAUGUUAGGUGGAAGAGCACCGAGGCUGCUGGCAGACAACAGCCCUCUGCGCUUCUGAGGAAAGGCACAAACUUCCCCCAAUCCUCUCUCGUUUGAGAGAGGGAGAAUUUCUUCUUGCAUCGUAUCUGGUGACCUGUUUAACCCAGCAUGUGUGAAUGGGACAGCAACUGAGAGGUCCUCAGUACCACUGUGUGACCAGCUUACUGAAUCUUUGGCUAUGCUUGCUCCCAGAAGAGGGCAAUAGGGGGGAAAUCCUGAAGCCAUUUUGUACAAGGAGGCACAGGAGGGAGGUAGAAAGUUCUUCCUGGCUUCUGCAGCGAAAAAAGCUGUACAAUGUGCCGUUGACUUGUUGCAAUGAAGUGUCUGAUGUAAAGUAGCAUUCUGCCUUAAGGUUUGUUUUACUGUGCUGUUGCACUGUGUGUGUGCAUUGACAACUACCAGAUGUUGUAUCCAAGUGUCUUCCUGCAUCUCCAUCACUUCAGGCCACCUGUAGGUUCAGUUAGUUAUGUCUUCAACAAACAGCUUCCAGAAGUAGAUUCCCCAAAGGACAGGGGUCUAAAAUCAAGUGCGUCAUGUAAUUAAUUACAUUUUUAAUGAGGGUCAAAGCUAUAAAGCUGUAAACAUGAGAUACAAGUAUUUAAAUCUCUGAAACUGUCUUCUUUAGACCAAGAGGAUGAAAGUAAUUCUCUCCUGUUUUCAUAGACAGCAGGGGAAAUCUUAGGUUUUGUGAUGUACAGUCCAUGUCUUAGCAGGAGAUUAGCAAAUAUUCAGAUGGGCUGAUGUACCAGAUUUGAGCCAGGAUGGCAGUAAAAGCCCAAGCAAACAUUCGAUGUACUUUUCCAUCAAGGAUCUCAGGAGCAGAGUUAACAGAGAAAGUAAUUUUAAGUCCUCAGAAUCCCAAGAUGUAUUUUCAUACACAUAAAAUCAGGUUGAGAAGUCUCACUAAGAAGCUGUCUCAUGGUGUGAAGCUGUACAUUAAUUAUAUGAUGACUAAGGCAUUUUACUGUUUAUAGUCCUAGGUUUUUGAAAGCCUGAUUGAUUCUUCCCAACUUGUGAUAUCACUGGAGAAGAGAGCUGAGGUGGUUUGGUUGUUUUUUUCCCCGGACAAGGUGUUCUUCUGUGCCUGGUCCAUGUGGGACUGGUGUUUGUCCUCUACCACUGCCUGCUUCUCUGCCCAUUGCACUAACUUUGCUUGUCUGUUUUGCUAUCUUCUGGGGUGUACUGGGCCCAUCAUUAAAUGUAAGAAGUGAAUUCCAAAAUGUUUAAUAGACACCUCUUGGUGACAGGCAAAUGAUUGAUCCAUCUGCUUCUAAGAGGAGCAGCUGAAAGCAUCACCUCUCUGGUGCUCCAGUGCUUGCUCUUGAGAGAUGAGCAGCCGCACACAAGGAGCUGCAGGCAGUACCUCUGUGUCUGUCUGCCCUUGGUCUGCACGGGCCACUCUCUUUACUGAGCCGCCGGUCGCUGCCUGGCUUGAUACAUCCCUGGGUAUUGGAGUCCCACAAGAGGUUCAAGUGGCAGUACCUGAGCCACCUGCUACUGUGCUGCUUAUCUGACAGUUCAAGAUGUCUGUGCAUGCUGUUUCCCCUUCCUGGUCCCUCAGGAAUUCAGCCAAGCAGGGGCACUUGUGACACAAUAGGGGAUCGUGUUCUUUUCCUUCCUUGGUGUCAGGAUUAUCAUAGGAACUGCUCAGCUGCGCACUCACCUCUAUGGCUAGACUCCCCUGAAGAGCUGAGGUCAGCUACCGGAGGCUUGGAGCCUGAAUAUUCGCACAGGAGAGUCGCUUCUUCUGCCUCUUGCACCCUGACAAGGCACUAAGCUACUUUCUUCAGCAAUUCUGGGAACUGGCCAGGAAGGAGGGAUCUGGAUGUACCUCUGGUUGUUGUGCAGUGCAGUUGCCUGGAUGAACCUCUUAAACCUUAGUGCCCCUGUAAAGGAGGAGCUGCUGGGUCCUAUGGGGAGCUGUGACACCCACUAGUGUUACAUUGCACCCAAGCCAGGCUAGCAGGAGAAACUCAUUUCUUUCCAAAGAGCUCGGAUAGCUCUGUUCUCACGCUGUGCCAGGUUUCUUGGGCUAAUACUGACCAAAGAGGUUAAAGCAGCCGUUUCCCAAAUCGGCUCCUCAGAAGAGCUCUCUUAAGAGGCAGCACCUGCUCAGAUGUAGAAAUCGGUAUGGGUGCCAGCCUGAAGAUGUGCCAGCUGCCUUGUGGUUCUAUCUAGGUGUUAAGGAUCUGGAUUUAGCUUUUGGACAGGCCACCUCAAGAUCACAAUGACGUGCUGGGAACUGUCAUUGCGAUGGCACAGGUGAGUGUUGCACUGCUGGUGCAUUUCCCCAGCAAAUGGCAGGGUUCUUUCUCUCACCCUUUGGGAGUCAGUAUCAGGCAUGCACUUUUGCCAUUAACUGGGAAUUUAGGGAUGUUGAGAAAUGACGUCUCCAAGGACAAAACCCUCUUUUCAUCCAGAGCUGCUCCCUCUUCCCAGGGUUUUGGGAUCUUUUCCUUUCAGCAGACUGGCUGUCCUGCGGGGAGCUUGCCCGAGCACUAGCUGCAGAGAAAGCAUUGCCGGUGAAGGCUCUGAGUGCUUAAUUCAGUGGGCGCAGAAGUGAGUUUGGAGGCAUGUCUGGGGGACAUGCCUCUGGACUGCUCUCUUCCCCAUUUACAGUUGGUGUGUUCUUAGUGCAUGUUUGCUGCUGCGCAGAACAUCCUGCACUCUGUUCACCAUGCAGGUCAAGCUGUGUCAGAACUGGUGUGUAAUCCCAUGGUUACAUGCUCCAGCAAAAGGACACGCUUUUGUUUGGGUGUGGGGACUUUAACUGCUUAAUCAAAUAGGCUGAAUUUUCUCGCAAUAAAUUUACCCCUUUAAGGCAGAGCUUUCCAACCUGACUUUUUUCCAGCAUGAUUUUGCAUUGGGAUUGCUCUUUAGUGUUUUGAUAUUGUGCUUCAAAUCUAUGAGUAAGGAACUGGGCCUUUCCUCAUUGUUCUCCUGGCUUCCUUAUGGCCAUUGCUAAUUGUAAGGUACCCCUGGGAGAAAUGCACAGGAAGGUCCUGGCGUGGAUUAGUGCAUUGUGCUAACGUGCUUAAUCUUUUUAUUGUUUAACAGCGUUAUGAGAUGAGAUGACCUUUGAGGAAGAAGGUGGCCAUACAACAAAGUACUCAGAAAUGUGUCCAGGCUCUAGAGCAGCAUUUUGGAGGGAGAGGGGAAAUCCCUGUGUUGGGAGCAAAGGGAGUGUUUGAAGCAGCUGUUGGUCAAACACAGUGUCCAGACAGUAGACCAUGAUGAAUCAGAAAAGGAAUAUAGAUGAGGCAGGGCCAUGUGGACCCUUCCCUAGAGCUAUCUAUGAAUAUGCUAAAUAUUUAAAUGCUCUUAAGUUUUGAUAGUUUAAGUAUACUUUUCAAAUAGAGGAUUCAGCCUGAUUCAUACUUUUUUAAGCAUGGGAACAAGUGUUUGAUAUGCACGACCUUCUUAGCUUACCCUGUAAUAAGUCCUUAACCAUCCAUGCUUCUCUUUAGCUGUGGAAUGGGAGCGCAGCCAGUAAUACUAGAGUGCAGAACUUGUCACCCUUUGAGCUGUUAUCUCCUGAUACCCCCAGACCCUCACUGUCUGAACUCUAGAAAUCCUCUUCUGACCCCUUCGUACUGUAUAGGAAAGGCUUUCAUUUUAAAAUUUCCACAUUUUUCCAGUGAUCCUAUAAUGCUGAUCUGCAAAGGUGCCCUCUUCAGAGGGGUGAGGGAAGCUGGAGGUUAGAAUUCGCUGGACAGGGAGACGUUAGGGCUUUCAGUGGCAGCUAAAAGGUCCACUGCGCUUCACUGGAUCAAAGAAAGCUUUCAGAUGUGUUGAAAUCUCCUUAAAGGGUGAAAUGUAGAAGCCAUUCGUAUCACCUACCACCCAAAGCUGGCCCUAGAGCGUGUGAAGUCCAAGGCACAUUUUGUGUUUUCUCAAGCUGCGACACAUGGCUGUUAUCCGUCCUGGAGCCAUAGCUGGGAGCUUGCCUGUACCAACUGUUUUGGUGGUGUUCUCGGAGCAGGACUGAGCGUGCUGACAAGUGAAGCAAAUGCUGUGUUUAAAAGAUAAGCAUUUUGAGAGUCCUAACUUGGAAGUGAAUUGGAGUUCAUAAUUCAGGCAGUAAAAUGUAGAGAGCUGGCAUAGUCUGAAAGGCAAUUUCAGUGUAUAUUUGCGAAAAGGAUGUCAGUGGGGGGAGAUGAGUUGUAGAAAGAUACUGGGACUUGCUUAAAAAGAGUAUGGCUGGUAUCCAGGGAAUUUAGAAAUCGUAGGAAGAAAACUGGAGGUGUCUCAGCAGGCUAGAUUGGGUGUCUGUGGAAAUAAGGUACUUAAAGGAUGCAGACUGGUACCUUCUGCUCAAGGACAAAUGACCUGGAUAACCAGGCAGAAAGGGAGGCCUGAGGAGGGGUAUCCGGGAGCAAGUAGAAAUGGAAACGUGUGUCACGGUGGAUGGUCCCCGUGCAAGUAGGUAAUGGGUUUUAUAUGAAAGGAGUUUGAAAAAGAGGCACUGAGUGCUAUCUGGGAUAAAAUAAUCCUUGUAUAGCAUCUCAAUCUGUUAUAUUUAGCUACUACAUCUUUAGGACUCUCUAAGUUAUCCUCCUAGUGCCUCAGUUCUGUUUUAGGGCCAAUUUUGUUUAACAUGCGCGUCAGUGAUGUGCCUGAAAUUAUGUUCUGUUAACUCAGGAUUGAUGAUGACAUCUCUCAGCUCUCAGUCUCGGGCCUCCUCUGACCUUGAAGACCAUGAGCCCUGAGCAUGCCAUGCUGGUUGGCAUCAGAUCACUGUUGAAACGAAUGCCUUACUGCUAAAUGGUUCAAAGGGAUGCCACAUGCUCUUGAGCUCCAAGCAUCACUGAUGCUCAGGAGCCAAACAUCCUCCUUUCCAGGUGACCACUAACACAACUAUUGUGCAAGAUUCAUCUCAGUGUUAGCCUUGAUAAAAACCUGUAAUAAUAAUAAUAAUACACAGCAAGGUUGUUUGGAUCCACUUGGUGAUAUAACCAUUCCCCAGGGAUCCACCUGACCAUCUUUUUCCCCUGUAUAUCUUGAACCUUCUGCCUUGACUGUCAGCUACUCAGCAGUAGACUACUGGUCACUGAUAGAUUAGGCCAAUAAAAAGAAGUCCCUGAGCCGCAGAUGAUUAGGGAGCUGGAGAAGGGGGCUGAGAGCCUUGGGGAGAGUCCCACUACACUAGGAAUUUGCUUGUAAUUGCUCUUCCUGUAGGAAAUGCCAGAUUGCUGCAGUGCCCUGCAGCAGGCUGGAUUGCUCUUGUUUCUUCAUCUCUCUCUGUCAUGCUCUGUUUUCUAAAUGUUUAAUUACAGAUGGAUUGUGGUUUGUGAGUUCACAGCUUUUCUCAUCUGCUUUUUGUCAAAGGUAAGCAAAUGUACUGCCUGUUGCUCUGUAGAGUUGAGUCCCUUGCACAGCAGCUGCCAAGGAGCUUGGAGAUAAAAACUUCAGCAUAUGGAAAAAACGGGAUGAGAAGCCAGUUUCUGUGGCUGAAAUGAUCUUGUUUUGAAAUAUAUCCAGCUGGUCUCUUACCCUCCCAGGCAUCUUGGUGUUGGCCCUCUGCUCCAUCCCAGGAAGCUGCUGCCUCCUGAAUUCCAUGAGCAGCUGGGGAUGUGUGGCUGAGAGGGACUUUUGGUGUUUGACCCUGUCUGCGUGCUUUAUGUGAAGAUGAAUACCUUAAGGGAGAGAACCUCGUGCCCUCCCUGCCAGCUUCCCUCCAGCCUCUGUAUAGAGAUGAGAACCAUGCCAGUGAAAUAGGAUGCGAUUACAUAAUUUACAUUGUGUUGCAGUUGGGGUUGUUAAAUUUGCAUUUAUAAUCCAUACUCAAAUAGGAGAAAAACCUGAAAGCAGUCUGAUUUGUGGUUACAAUUAGAUAACCCGACUUCUGCUGUCAGCCACUUGUCUCCCUGUCCUGUGCCGUCCAGUGCAUUCGGAGGCCAGGACUGGAAAAUACCCUGAGCAUUGUGAGUGCUCACUGUCCUAGGAAGUGCUGCUGGGACCAUGGGCUCCCUCUGCAUUCCCAGGCUGCCUCCUGGGGUACUAUCUGAGGCUCCCCAAGGCAAUAAACACUAGUCAUUAAUCAGUUUAAAUAAUUUUUAAAUGAUGGGUGUAUAAUGAUUUUUGAAUAACCAUCCUAAUUAUAGUAAAUACGCAUAAGAGGGCUGAAAUAACAUCAUGUAAACGAGGUUAAUUCUGGUAUUUUAAUGUGACUGCUUUGCUGUGCUGCCCGUAAGCAUUCUUUUGUCAUAAUCUUUGUAUGCAAUUUUAUAUCUGUUUGCAAAUGAUAUUUUCAGUUCAUUUUUAACAUGUGGAACCAUGUCAGUUUUCCAACUUGGUUAUUAGUCAGCAAGAAGGAUACCACAACCUUUCAGUUCAUGGCACGGAUAUUUUCCAUUUAAUCAAACUAUGAACAAUAUAAGAAAUAAUUAGCUGAGGUGGUGUUUGGUUUUGUGCAUGAGCCAGCCGCUGGAGGAGAUCUGAGUAUGGUUCGCUUGUGGUGCAGGCACCUCGUGCACUCCCGUGGUUGCUGCUCUGUGGUUGUAGCCAAGGAGGAAACUUUGGCUUAUUAAUCCUUGUGGAUUUGGGGGCUCCAGAGCUGAUCCUUGGUUCUGUUCCAAAAAUGACCUGCGCCGCUCCAGGUGUGUCAUCUGUAAAGCUGAGACUGACAAUUGCUAUUCCACUGAGUCAGGUACCCAUGGCCUUUCUUGUGACGAGGGACGGUGGCAUGUGGUUACCACCCCACUGGAAGAGCUGGAGCACACUUCCUCCGCAGCAAUCCACAGCAGCGUUGGUUGCUACAUCCACGUCUCCGUGCGGUUUGGCAGCCCCUGUGGUAACUGCUGAAGCAUGACCCAUGGGGUGGAAUACUUGGAGAGCUGUCAGCUCAUUGUUAGGAGGCUCUGAAGUGAGAUUUUACUGAAGGUUUUAAUGUUUGACCAAGUUCAGUUAAAGCAGAAGCCUGGUUUGAUUUGAGGGAGUGUGCUGUGCUCCAAAAGCUCUCCAUGUUUCAAAUUUUCUAGGUCGCUCUUGGAUGCUCUAAAUUUUUUUCAGAGAAACCGUUAGCAAAAACUUUGACAUUGAUGAUUUGUAUUCUUCUGUCAUCUCGGUCUUGGAGAGCAUAAAGAUACUUUUUUGGCAAGUUCUCCCCCUCCUCAACCCCCAGUCAUCAUCAUUAGAAGCCUGUCAACAAACAUGAAAAAUACCAGCAUGCCAACUGUAAAUGCUAAUUGACAGAUAAGCAGCUGAAGUGGGUAACUCGUGCUAUGUCUGACCUGCAGCAGUCUGUCUCCUGGCCCUGUCAGUAGCUGCGUUGCUUCCCUAGGAAGUGUGAUCAAAGCGAUCUGUGCUCACAUACCUGCACUACUUGGUAGCACACACAACUUCUCCUGUACCUGUGAGUUAGCUGUGCUCUGUUCAGAGCAGGAGGUGAGUUCUUUCCUUGCUAAAGUAGUCCGAUUGCAAAGAGGAUAAACUAAAGAUGAGUUAAAACCAACCUCAUGAGUGGGCAUUACGUGUGCUAGGAAUGUGGUCUGGUUUUUUUCUUACAGUUGGCUUACCUUUACCGUUUAGAUCUUACUGAUAUUCUUUUAAUGCUUCUGGUUUAACUGCCUUUGGGGACAAAGAGCUUGGAAGCAGCUCUAGUAAAACUGGAGUUUUGUUGCUGAAGCCUUGUGCCCAGCUGACACAAAAUCUCCAAAGUGCUUUUGGAAGGAUUUAAUCACCUGUGGAUAUCAUGGCUAAGGGAGCUUCCCUUUUUCUUUCCUUCUCUUAAAGUAAGCUGUUCUUGUGGGGUUUGUCCCUGCUCAAUGAAGGGCUUUGAGACAUUGCUACUUGCUGUGUGCACUUUCUGCAAACAGGCUUUACAGUUUCAUGGCAUCGCUCUCUCGAGGACCACCUCAUGAUGGGAUUGCUUAGUUGAUCAGAGUCUCCUGACAGUAACAUUUACAUACUAAGCCAUCAGCUGUUAUUCCAGAUGAUGCAGAUUUUUUAGUAGCUUUAGCUGAAAUGGCUUGUACUGAAUUGUAUCACUUAGACUAGAAUCCAGUAUUGCAUUUCCAACAGACCUGUAAGUGAAAAAGCACGUAUAACUGUGUGUGAAAGAUACCGAACAGUAGCAUAAAUCAUUGCUCCCAGCAGUAAAGUCCUGAUGCUCUGUUUUGAUGAAUUUGGCAAUUCAGAAAAAACAGUAGAAUCUGCUUGUGCCCUUGGAAAUCUAGGCGUUUCCGUGGCUGAGAGCUCAGUGUUCUAGUACUGCAGAGCUGUGCUGCCUUUUCAACCCUUCACUGGUGAGUCAACUGUGUGUUUACUGCUAGUUUUGAGGGGGAGGUUCCUGACUGGGAGGACCAGAGAGACAUUUCUGUAGCAUACUGAUUUAGAAAGAAAAGGCCAAGCUGCUCAGAAGUGCAGGAUGUUGAAAACCCACAAGGAGAAUUAACAGGAUAGUGCAAUUGAGUCGGUGAGAGAGGUCCAGGGUAAAAUGCGUGAAUAUGGAAGAGAUUGUUACAGUCUGGGCACCAGACAGUACAUCUGGCAUACCUUGGGCUUACCUUUUUUUUCCCUCUAGCACUGCUCCCUGAAUUCUCAGAAGAUUUUUGUGAUUUCACAAAGGUCUGCUCAAUUGAAAGUGGUGAACUGAAAAUCAGAGUAUUAUCCAAAACAUUUUGCAGAGAAAAGGAAGAAGAUAUAGAUGAAAAAGAAUAAGCAGUGACGGGGACUAGAGGAAAUAAAGGUUCUGAAAAUAUUUGGGAUGGAAUCUAGUAACGAAAUGGGGGAAUGAGGAAUUUAAAGUCACUGAAUCCUGACAAUGUGUGUCCUAAAUGAAGGACUCAUUUUGGAGUGUUAAAUGAUGAUUGCAACCUUGAAAAUAACUUUAUCAAGAAGAAAUCAGUAAGAGAGAGCUUGCUG